rnacentral:rRNA from 1 species
CCUACGGGAGGCAGCAGUGGGGGAUAUUGGUCAAUGGCCGGAAGGCUGAACCAGCCAUGCCGCGUGAAGGUCAGUGCCCUAUGGGCGUUAAACUUCUUUUGUGCGGGAGCAAUAAUGGUCACGUGUGGCCAGACGAGAGUACCGUACGAAUAAGCAUCGGCUAACUCCGUGCCAGCAGCCGCGGGAAUUCGGGGGAUGCAAGCGUUAUCCGGAUUUAUUGGGUUUAAAGGGGGCGUAGGCUGUGAGGUAAGGCAGCUGGGAAAUGCCCCCGCUCAACGGGGUGAAGUGCCAUUGAUACUGCGUGGCUGGAAUGCGGAUGCGGUGGGAGGAAUGUGUGGUGUAGCGGUGAAAUGCAUAGAUAUCACACAGAACACCGAUUGCGAAGGCAUCUCACGAAUCCGCGAUUGACGCUGAUGCACGAAAGCGUGGGUAUCAAACAGGAUUAGAUACCCCUGUAGUC